rnacentral:lncRNA from 1 species
AGUAUUUCUUUAACUCUCCAGAAAAUGUUUCAAGCAGCCUGCUUUGGUACAGUGGCAGAAAUUAGGAUUUGGAUUCUAGCUCUACUACAUAUGAACCUCCCAUGUGGUCUUCAGAAACAUUUGAUCUGCUGCCUUGCACAUAAGACUGUAUGCAGUAAAUUGUGGUGGCUGGAAGAUUUAAGUAAGUUUAUUUAUAAGUUCUAAAAAGUCUCACAAAACACACUAAGUAGGGAUAUAGAUGUG